ACUACACUCACACCAAAGACCAAACCCAGUCGUCGUCGCUGAGCAAAGAAAGAAGCGAAUCCAUGGCGUUCGUCCCGGAGGCACCUGCAGCGUGGAAGCUCCUGCUACGGGGCGGCGGAGCCAUGACGCGGUCCCUGCGCGACGCCGGCCUCGGCUUCGACCUCGACGGUGCCGGGCGCUUUCUCGCCCCCCUGUGGGAGCUCAUCAAGCAGAAGGCCGCCGAGCUCGCGGCCUUCCUCACCGGCCUCCUCGCCGCGCUCGGCAAGAAGGCCGACGAGCUCUUUCCGCCGGAGACCCGCUCGGAGACGCUCGCGCAGUGGGUGCGCGUCGGCGUCACCGUUGUGCUCCCGCCCGCGCUUGGCGCGCUUGUGCUGUUCUGGCUGGCCCGGUGCUGCUGCCGCUGCCGCUGCUGCUGCGGCCGCGGCGGCGGCGGCGGGCGAACGAUGGUGGCUCCCGGCCGCGGCGGCGUGCGCAUGCCGCGCGGCGCGUUCGAGGGUGCUCCCCGGACAUACUUCCGCGACCUCCGUGCAAAGAAGACCCACAUAUACUAGUGACUUGUCUUCGAGAGCGGCGGCAGCGGUGCUCCCUUCGGAUCCCCCCCACAUCCCUCUCAGAUCUGGAGUUUUGAGGCCCGGAUUCGAUCUCCAAUCCCUCCUACUAGGAUGGUUUGGCUUAUCGACGAUGUCUACGACACGAAACACCGGGCCUACAUGAUGCGCGAGAAGGAGAUGAAGCUUGAACCUUUGAAGAUACGGUAUCACGGGGUCUCUGGUCCUGCCAUGCCUUACGCUGAGCGGUACACACCAUACAUCAAGUAGGCAGGACUACUCCCAUGGAUUCAGUUGGUCAGCCGGUCCAUGCCGAAUCUGAACGCUCCACUGGUGUCCGCUCUUGCUGAUCGGUGGAGGCCGGAGACGCAUAGUUUCCAUCUUCGGACUAGAGAGAUGACUGUGACGCUCGAGGAUGUCUCGUUGAUCAUCGUUCUUGCUAUCGACGAGAUGCCUCUUUGUAUGAGCACCGAUUCUGAUGGGUGGCGCGAGCAGAUGAUUGCUCUUAUCGGUAUGGCUCCUACCGAGGUUGAGGCUGAUGUAGAGGAGGGAGAA